CCAAUAUAAUUAUCAGCAGCCCAACUUGUCAAAUAACCCAUUCCAAAACAUAAAUUCUAAAUACCCACCGUACAACAAUACAUAAAAUCAACCACCCGACCCGCACGACUGAAACUCAGACGAAACCCAGAAAUCCCAGCAUUCACGCGAUGCAUCCUCCCAUCUCUCUUCGUACGAAGACCAUUGGAGAGGGUGAGAUGUCGAAAUAUCAUGCCCCGAUUGUCCUUCACUCAAAAUCGACCGCUCACCAUUAAAAUUUGUACACUAACCAAUGGAAAAUCCCUAUCUUUUAAGGGAUUUCAAAAAUUGUCAAAAAUCCCACAUCGUUUCUUCUAAGAUUUUUGGGUUUCUACAUAAACCCUCUUAAUUCACUCUUUUAGGAGAGGAUUUCCGGAGACCAAAAAUUUCGCAUAAAAUCUUUAGGAAUUCUUGGUUCCAUAAUUUAAUAUUUUUAAAACCUUUUUGUGGCUGUUUGAGUUUAGAGAGGUGGUGGAAUAGUCUCCGUUAAGCCUGUCAUUCGAUUAGCUGCCCGGGAAGAGUCCAAAUUGGACUCCCAUCCCUGGAACACUCCUCUUCUUGUGUCAACCUCCUUCAAAGUUUCGAAAUGGAGUUAAUAUUGUUCGGUUAAAAUACCAAGGCAGCAAUUUAGUAGCAAAGUAGCAGCAGUCCCAAAGGGAUCAAAAUUGGGAAUUUUGAACUAUAAUGAAUCCAAUUCAUACAAUAACAGGUUGCAGCAUUCACACAGGACAAAAAUGAGAAUAUUUUCUUUAGAUUUUGGAGUUCAAUUUGAUCGUGGCAGCAACAAAUAGUAUUUAGGCCAAGGGCCUGGAUCCUCACUAUUUAUUAUCUUGGUUAUAUGUUCUUAAUUUGUUUUUGUUUGGAAAUGCUAACAUUUUCUUCGAUUAACUUAGAUGAAUCCUUUGGAUGUUUUCGAA